UAGCGAAAAAGGCAAACCUUGGGUGAUCAGGGGGCGCAAAGGAAAAGGGUCUUUACCCACCACGGGAAGCUAGGACAAUAAAGAUAGCCUUACUGCCAAA
rnacentral:ncRNA from 1 species